GCGGCGGACGGGUGAGUAACACGUGGGUAACCUGCCUGUAAGACUGGGAUAACUCCGGGAAACCGGGGCUAAUACCGGAUGCUUGUUUGAACCGCAUGGUUCAAACAUAAAAGGUGGCUUCGGCUACCACUUACAGAUGGACCCGCGGCGCAUUAGCUAGUUGGUGAGGUAACGGCUCACCAAGGCGACGAUGCGUAGCCGACCUGAGAGGGUGAUCGGCCACACUGGGACUGAGACACGGCCCAGACUCCUACGGGAGGCAGCAGUAGGGAAUCUUCCGCAAUGGACGAAAGUCUGACGGAGCAACGCCGCGUGAGUGAUGAAGGUUUUCGGAUCGUAAAGCUCUGUUGUUAGGGAAGAACAAGUGCCGUUCAAAUAGGGCGGCACCUUGACGGUACCUAACCAGAAAGCCACGGCUAACUACGUGCCAGCAGCCGCGGUAAUACGUAGGUGGCAAGCGUUGUCCGGAAUUAUUGGGCGUAAAGGGCUCGCAGGCGGUUUCUUAAGUCUGAUGUGAAAGCCCCCGGCUCAACCGGGGAGGGUCAUUGGAAACUGGGGAACUUGAGUGCAGAAGAGGAGAGUGGAAUUCCACGUGUAGCGGUGAAAUGCGUAGAGAUGUGGAGGAACACCAGUGGCGAAGGCGACUCUCUGGUCUGUAACUGACGCUGAGGAGCGAAAGCGUGGGGAGCGAACAGGAUUAGAUACCCUGGUAGUCCACGCCGUAAACGAUGAGUGCUAAGUGUUAGGGGGUUUCCGCCCCUUAGUGCUGCAGCUAACGCAUUAAGCACUCCGCCUGGGGAGUACGGUCGCAAGACUGAAACUCAAAGGAAUUGACGGGGGCCCGCACAAGCGGUGGAGCAUGUGGUUUAAUUCGAAGCAACGCGAAGAACCUUACCAGGUCUUGACAUCCUCUGACAAUCCUAGAGAUAGGACGUCCCCUUCGGGGGCAGAGUGACAGGUGGUGCAUGGUUGUCGUCAGCUCGUGUCGUGAGAUGUUGGGUUAAGUCCCGCAACGAGCGCAACCCUUGAUCUUAGUUGCCAGCAUUCAGUUGGGCACUCUAAGGUGACUGCCGGUGACAAACCGGAGGAAGGUGGGGAUGACGUCAAAUCAUCAUGCCCCUUAUGACCUGGGCUACACACGUGCUACAAUGGGCAGAACAAAGGGCAGCGAAACCGCGAGGUUAAGCCAAUCCCACAAAUCUGUUCUCAGUUCGGAUCGCAGUCUGCAACUCGACU
rnacentral:rRNA from 1 species